UUUGUUUUUGUUUUGAGCCCAGCUCCUGUGUCAGACACUGCACUAGGUUCGGUUCAGGGGAUUCCUGUCGCUGAGAAGUUCCUACUGAGUCACUCUCUAAAAACUAGGAAGAUGCAGGUUUUUAUGUAAACCACUACUCACUACCUGCAUGUGAUUUUGGAGUGCUCUGCUGUAAGGACAUUCUCCUGCCAGUUCUAAAAUGAGAGGAACUGCUCCAACAACAAGGAGAUGCUCAGGAAUGCGGAUGCUUAGGAAGGAGCACAGUCUCCCCAGAGCAGAGCCUCUGCUGGUGUGAGCCUACACUCAACGAUGCAAAGCAACGGGAAAGAGGCGAGCUUCUGAGGAGUAGUGGGAAAACAGCAGCUAACAGGGCGCCUUGUGAAGCAAGUGACUGCAUUCAGUGAGUGUGGGGGGCUAUUGGUUGGCUUGCUUGCUUUUGCCUUUAUUCUCUGUCCAAAACCGAAUGCUGUAAGUCUUUGCUUAGCUGAGGCUAGUCACAGAAAACAGAAAACCAGUGAUUUGCUUUAACUAUGUCAUCUUAAUGGGCUAUAAACUGACAAAAGCAAAAGGACUCCUUAACAUUCAACAGGUGAUAGCUCAGUUGGAAACAAAGAAAAAACAUUUACAUGUAAAUUCAUUUAGUAGGCCUAUAAGUAUUAUCUACUUAAAUAGAUUUUAUUCCUUAAUGGACAAGCUACAUAGUACAUAUGUUUCUAAUCCUAAAUUAAUCGAUCACUACCAAAAGAAAGAUCAUUUGGUCACUUAGUUUUGGGAGGUCUUUUUCUAAGUGUUGUGUCAUCAUCACUGAUGGGAGGGAAAUUUAACCAGACACUUCUUGAGCCUGGAAAUCAUUCAGAAUCUCUGGCCCAGUAAUCUUCUCUCUAGGAAUCCAAUUUAUAGAAAGAAUUAGAUAUACAGAAAAGAUAUAUGUACCAUAUGUUCACGAGUACUAUCAUAGCAAAAAUAAUAGUUAUAAAAUUGUGUUUUGUCAAAAGAAUUGAAUAUGGAGAAAUCAUUAAACAGCAUGUUUUCAAAGCCUCCUGUUUUGGAAAUAUAUAACAUAUAUUUAUUUAUAAUUUAUAAUAUAAUUUAUUAACAAAAAUAAAUAGGAUGUAAAACUUUAUAAUAAAAAAUGUCAUAUGUAAGAUACACAGUAUGACAUAUCUAUUACAUAUUUAAUAACACCUAUAUAUUACAUAUAUCAUAUAGAAAAACAUCUGGAAGGAAAUACACUAAAAAUACCACCAGUAGUUUUCUCUAGGUAGUGGAAUUUUGCAUGGCUUUUAUUUUCUUAAUACUGCUUUUCUGUUUAUUGAGGUUCCCAAAUAAGCCUGAAGAGCCACCAAGAAGAAGGAAUACGCUGGCCUGGUCAUCACGUAGUUCCUAUGACAAUGAUACAUACAACUCCAAAAUAUUUGACAUUAUUUUUAAUAUCUUAACAUAAAUAGUGGCAAAAAAAAAAAAAGAAAAACCACAAUGAUGAAAACUUUGGCAAGUACGGAAAAGUAAAAAUAUUGGGGAAAGAAUCCCACCAGUCAGAGGGAAAUGUGAUUAAUAUCCCGUGACUAAGUCAGUAGCUUUGAGCUGUGCCAUCAAAAGACCUCAGGAGCUGUCCCCGUGGAAGGUAGGGACUGACUAGGUCCUCCUAUCCA
rnacentral:lncRNA from 1 species